GGGCAGGGUCCUUUAUACUUAGGCCCUAGUGAACAACAUCACGUUGAACACUCCUAAAAAUCCCAUUUCCAGUAGAAUCUGGACCUAAACCUUAAAUGUGCACACUCCCGAAUGAGGAUUCCAAGCCUCACCGAGAAGUUCUAAGUCCAAGUAGCCAGGAUACGUUUCUACUGACUACUCCUGUUAUUAGGGUAC